GAGUGGGGAGGGAAUGGUCAUUAUUACAGGUACAGUUGGUGACUUGUUGGUGACUUGUUGGCGACUUGUGAUCCUGUUGGUGACUAUUGGUUCAGAAGUUUGGGGUCUCAGAUGACUUUGGGUCUCAGAUGAAUAUGUGGUUCCGAGUUCAAGCCGAAGCUUUGAUCCUGUGUUCCGAGAGACACAGCCAACCAGUCUUGUCUGCAUCAUUUGCAUCAUAGCAUAUUUAUUUUUCAAAAGAAACGCAAUAAAAAA
rnacentral:lncRNA from 1 species